rnacentral:misc_RNA from 1 species
GGACUACAAGGGUAUCUAAUCCUGUUCGCUACCCACACUUUCGCACAUGAGCGUCAGUCUUUGGCCAGGGAGUCGCCUUCGCCACUGAUGUUCCUCCAGAUAUCUACGCAUUUCACCGCUACACCUGGAAUUCCACUCCCCUCUCCAAGACUCUAGUCUGCCAGUUCUAAAUGACCAUCCCAGGUUGAGCCCGGGGCUUUCACAUCUAGCUUAACAAACCGCCUGCGUGCGCUUUACGCCCAGUAAUUCCGAUUAACGCUCGCACCCUCCGUAUUACCGCGGCUGCUGGCACGGAGUUAGCCGGUGCUUCUUCUGUUGUUAACGUCACGGCUAGCAGGUAUUAACUACUAACUUUUCCUCACAACUGAAAGUGCUUUACAACCCGAAGGCCUUCUUCACA